GACGCGGUGGCCGAGUGGUUAAGGCGAUGGACUGCUAAUCCAUUGGGGUUUCCCCGCGUGAGUUCGAAUCUCA
rnacentral:tRNA from 1 species